rnacentral:rRNA from 1 species
GACGAACGCUGGCGGCGUGCCUAAUACAUGCAAGUCGAACGCUGAAGCGAGGAGCUUGCUCUUCUUGGAUGAGUUGCGAACGGGUGAGUAACGCGUAGGUAACCUGCCUUGUAGCGGGGGAUAACUAUUGGAAACGAUAGCUAAUACCGCAUAACAAUGGAUGACACAUGUCUUUUAUUUGAAAGGGGCAAUUGCUCCACUACAAGAUGGACUUGCGUCGUAUUAGGUAGUAGGUGAGGUAAUGGGCCACCUAGGCGACGGUACAUAGCCGACCUGAGAGGGGGGACGGCCACACUGGGAAUGAGACCAGGCCCAGGCUCCUACGGGAGGCAGCAGGAGGGAAUCUUCGGCAAUGGGGGCAACCCUUACCGAGCAACGCCGCGGGAGGGAAGAAUGGUUUCGGAUCGUAAAACUCUGUUGUAAGUCAAGAACGGGUGUGAGAGUGGAAAGUUCACACUGUGACGGUAGCUUACCAGAAAGGGACGGCUAACUACGUG